GAUGAACGCUGGCGGCGUGCCUAAUACAUGCAAGUCGAGCGAACGGACGAGAAGCUUGCUUCUCUGAUGUUAGCGGCGGACGGGUGAGUAAAACGUGGAUAACCUACCUAUAAGACUGGGAUAACUUCGGGAAACCGGAGCUAAUACCGGAUAAUAUUUUGAACCGCAUGGUUCAAAAGUGAAAGACGGUCUUGCUGUCACUUAUAGAUGGAUCCGCGCUGCAUUAGCUAGUUGGUAAGGUAACGGCUUACCAAGGCAACGAUGCAUAGCCGACCUGAGGGGGUGAUCGGCCACACUGGAACUGAGACACGUUCCAGACUCCUACGGGAGGCAGCAGUAGGGAAUCUUCCGCAAUGGGCGAAAGCCUGACGGAGCAACGCCGCGUGAGUGAUGAAGGUCUUCGGAUCGUAAAACUCUGUUAUUAGGGAAGAACAUAUGUGUAAGUAACUGUGCACAUCUUGACGGUACCUAAUCAGAAAGCCACGGCUAACUACGUG
rnacentral:rRNA from 1 species